rnacentral:rRNA from 1 species
GAUGAACGCUGGCGGCGUGCCUAAUACAUGCAAGUCGAGCGAACAGACGAGGAGCUUGCUCCUCUGACGUUAGCGGCUGACGGGUGAGUAACACGUGGAUAACCUACCUAUAAGACUGGGAUAACUUCGGGAAACCGGAGCUAAUACCGGAUAAUAUAUUGAACCGCAUGGUUCAAUAGUGAAAGACGGUUUUGCCGUCACUUAUAGCUGGAUCCGCGCCGCAUUAGCUAGUUGGUAAGGUAACGGCUUACCAAGGCGACGAUGCGUAGCCGACCUGAGAGGGUGAUCGGCCACACUGGAACUGAGACACGGUCCAGACUCCUACGGGAGGCAGCAGUAGGGAAUCUUCCGCAAUGGGCGAAAGCCUGACGGAGCAACGCCGCGUGGGUGAUGAAGGUCUUCGGAUCGUAAAACUCUGUUAUUAGGGAAGAACAAAUGUAUAAGUAACUAUGCACGUCUUGACGGUACCUAAUCAGAAAGCCACGGCUAACUACGUG